AUUGAACGCUGGCGGCAGGCCUAACACAUGCAAGUCGAGCGGAGCGGCGGACGGGUGCGUAAUGCAUAGGCAUCUGCCUGGUAGUGGGGGAUAACGUACGGAAACGGGCGCUAAUAUCGCAUACUAUCAGAUGACCCUAGGUCGGAUUAGCUAGCUGGUGGGGUAAAGGCCUACCAAGGCGACGAUCCGUAACUGGUCUGAGAGGAUGAUCAGUCACACUGGAACUGAGACACGGUCCAGACUCCUGCGGGAGGCAGCAGUGGGGAAUAUUGGACAAUGGGCGAAAGCCUGAUCCAGCCAUGCCGCGUGUGUGAUGAAGGUCUUCGGAUUGUAAAGCACUUUAAGUUGGGAGGCGUUACCAACAGAAUGAGCACCGGCUAACUUCGUGCCAGCCGCCGCGGUAAUUC
rnacentral:rRNA from 1 species